rnacentral:piRNA from 1 species
UCCAAUUCACUCAGUUCUAUUAGCAGCUGC